UACGUAGGUGACAAGCGUUAUCCGGAAUGAUUGGGCGUAAAGCGUCCGUAGAUGGUUUUGUCAGUCUGCUGUCAAAGCACAGGGCUUAACCCUGUAAAGGCAGUGGAAACUACAAGACUAGAGUGCAGUAGGGGCAGAGGGAAUUCCCAGUGUAGCGGUGAAAUGCGUAGAGAUUGGGAAGAACAUCCGUGGCGAAAGCGCUCUGCUGGACUGCAACUGACAUUGAGGGACGAAAGCUAGGGGAGCGAAUGGG
rnacentral:rRNA from 1 species